rnacentral:misc_RNA from 1 species
UCUUUCCUUUUGAUAGGAGAGUUUUUAAAACCAGUGUUAUUUUUGUAAGUUUAAGAGAAGUUUGUGUAUUGAAUUUUUAAUAUUAAAGAGCUUUGUUAAACUUAGACUUAAGUUUAGGUCAUUUUGGGGGUUUAGCUCAGUUGGCUAGAGCAUUGGCUUUGCAAGCCGAGGGUCAAGGGUUCGAGUCCCUUAACCUCCAUUGGGCUUAUGUCCUAAAUUGUAAUUAAGUAUGUUUUUAAGCAACUUUAUUAAAGUAAUUGUUGGAAUGUGAAACAGAGGAAGUUAAAAUUUCUGGGUUAAGUUGAGAUCUGUUGAUAUUAAGAAGAAUCUCUAGAAGCAAAAGCAAGCUUUCGAUAAAACCCGAAGUUGUUUCGCUAAAGUGCAAGGAUUAAACAGGAUUGUAUUUUCCAGUAGCCUAUUUUAUAAACGAUCUGCAUUUAGUAAAUAGUUUUUAGUUAGGAAAUAAUGUAUAUUGCUAAGUGUGAUGUC